UUAGAGUUUGAUCCUGGCUCAGGACGAACUCUGGCGGCGCGCCUAACACAUGCAAGUCGAACGAGAGAGAGGGAGCUUGCUUCCUCAAUCGAGUGGCGAACGGGUGAGUAACGCGUGAGGAACCUGCCUCAAAGAGGGGGACAACAGUUGGAAACGACUGCUAAUACCGCAUAAGCCCACGACCCGGCAUCGGGAAGAGGGAAAAGGAGCAAUCCGCUUUGAGAUGGCCUCGCGUCCGAUUAGCUAGUUGGUGAGGUAACGGCCCACCAAGGCGACGAUCGGUAGCCGGACUGAGAGGUUGAACGGCCACAUUGGGACUGAGACACGGCCCAGACUCCUACGGGAGGCAGCAGUGGGGAAUAUUGCACAAUGGGGGAAACCCUGAUGCAGCGACGCCGCGUGGAGGAAGAAGGUCUUCGGAUUGUAAACUCCUGUUGUUGAGGAAGAUAAUGACGGUACUCAACAAGGAAGUGACGGCUAACUACGUGCCAGCAGCCGCGGUAAAACGUAGGUCACAAGCGUUGUCCGGAAUUACUGGGUGUAAAGGGAGCGCAGGCGGGCGAUCAAGUUGGAAGUGAAAUCCAUGGGCUCAACCCAUGAACUGCUUUCAAAACUGGUCGUCUUGAGUAGUGCAGAGGUAGGCGGAAUUCCCGGUGUAGCGGUGGAAUGCGUAGAUAUCGGGAGGAACACCAGUGGCGAAGGCGGCCUACUGGGCACCAACUGACGCUGAGGCUCGAAAGUGUGGGUAGCAAACAGGAUUAGAUACCCUGGUAGUCCACACCGUAAACGAUGAUUACUAGGUGUUGGGAGAUUGACCCUCUCCAGUGCCGCAGUUAACACAAUAAGUAAUCCACCUGGGGAGUACGACCGCAAGGUUGAAACUCAAAGGAAUUGACGGGGGCCCGCACAAGCAGUGGAGUAUGUGGUUUAAUUCGACGCAACGCGAAGAACCUUACCAAGUCUUGACAUCCCUUGACGAUGCUGGAAACAGUAUUUCUCUUCGGAGCAAGGAGACAGGUGGUGCAUGGUUGUCGUCAGCUCGUGUCGUGAGAUGUUGGGUUAAGUCCCGCAACGAGCGCAACCCUUAUGGUCAGUUACUACGCAAGAGGACUCUGGCCAGACUGCCGUUGACAAAACGGAGGAAGGUGGGGAUGACGUCAAAUCAUCAUGCCCUUUAUGACUUGGGCUACACACGUACUACAAUGGCGUUAAACAAAGAGAAGCAAGACCGCGAGGUGGAGCAAAACUCAGAAACAACGUCCCAGUUCGGACUGCAGGCUGCAACUCGCCUGCACGAAGUCGGAAUUGCUAGUAAUCGUGGAUCAGUAUGCCACGGUGAAUACGUUCCCGGGCCUUGCACACAGCGCCCGUC
rnacentral:rRNA from 1 species